ACAGAUUAGUGGUCCUGGUUUAUGUUCUUGACUAGUAUGUUGUUAUCUGGACUGGGCUGUAAAAAUCUGUGAACACUGUUGCUCUGAGUUAGGAACAGAAUGGCUGGGGCAGAACCAUUUUUGGCAGAUGGCAAUCAGGAAUUGUUUCCCUGUGAAGUCUGUGGAAGACGUUUUGCAGCAGAUGUUCUGGAAAGGCAUGGACCAAUAUGUAAGAAACUCUUCAACAGAAAGCGUAAACCUUUCAGUUCUUUGAAGCAAAGAUUACAGGGCACUGACAUUCCUACUGUGAAGAAGACUCCGCAAUCCAAGUCUCCACCUGUGAGGAAGUCUAACUGGAGACAACAACAUGAAGACUUUAUUAAUGCAAUCCGAUCAGCAAAGCAGUGUAUGCUAGCCAUUAAAGAAGGCCGACCCCUCCCACCUCCACCCCCUCCAUCCUUGAACCCAGAUUAUAUUCAAUGUCCAUAUCGUAUGAGAAGGUUUAAUGAAAGCGCAGCUGAGCGACAUACUAAUUUCUGCAAGGAUCAGUCUUCUCGCCGAGUCUUUAAUCCAGCUCAGACAGCAGCCAAAUUGGCAUCCAGAGCGCAGGGUAGGGCUCAGAUGGGUCCAAAAAAAGAACCAACUGUUACCAGUGCCGUGGGAGCUUUGCUGCAGAACAGGGCCCUGGUGGCCACGAAUGAAGUCCCAACCAAGUCAGGAUUAGCUAUGGACCCUGCUUCUGGAGCAAAACUCAGACAAGGAUUUAGUAAAUCUUCUAAAAAAGAUUAACUCCUAGAAGCCAGACUGCCUCCCUGAAACCCAUCAGCCUGGAUGGUUGCGUACCCGAGAAUGCCACCUAAGGGGAAGGAACGGUAGAUGUGAUGUCUGUUUUUACACCCUUGAUUCUUCUUGAAGCAUCACUUAGAACAAAUGGAAAGGAGCCCACCUGAUUUGGUAGAUUACAGACAACUAAAUCUUAUUUCAGCAAGAUGGAUCAUGGUCAACAAUGAGAUUAUUUCUUUGAAAUGAAGCCUGAGUGGGAUAUUCAGAUUCACCUCCAGGCAAUGAUGUCAUUUUAAAGCUCUCGGGAUACCUUGCAGUGCCCCUUCAAGGUCACAUGGUGGGGCUUCAAACAUUAACCCACAGACUUGCUCCUCCUCCAGCACUGCCUGUUCUAGCUAAUGGCACCGCUAUGCAAUAGCCAUCAGAGCUCCCGGAUCCUCACCAGCUGAAGACAGAAGCAUUCUGAAGAAGUCUGUCUUUGUUAACAAUAUCUAAACCCAGAGAAGAAAUUCUGCUGGACUUCUGGGAGGCGAGAAGGAGAAGCAGAGGAGAAGCUGCUAAAAUGACACUCUCCCUUCCAUCCCCCCAUGGCCAACCCCCCAUCCCAGGGCCUGAUAAGGAGAUAUGUCAGUCCCCAGCAAGAGAGGCCCUGGCACCCCUCUGUUCCCUAAGGCAAUGAGUAGAGUCCUUGGGAAGACAGCUACGUGAAGAGUGUGCCUCGGGAGGCCAGACCUGAGGCAGGAGGUUUCCAGCCCUCACUGGCGGCCCUGGGGCAGACAGCUACAAGGAUUCAAUAAAUCACUACUUUGAUAAACUGAAGGUCAGAGGUGGGUUCCUCAUCUUCCAGAGGCCAUGAAAAUCUCCAGGUCCUAGGACACACUCCAUGGGGGAAGGGGAAGCACCUAAAUCUUACUGACAUGAAAUUUUCCUCUAGGUUGGCAGAAUGGGGACUGGAGUCCAUUUUCAUUAUGGGGAAUGAAAACAGUAAUGCUUCUUGCAUAGUUGACACUCUGAGGUGAAAUGCGGACUUGUGGGGCACCUCAAGAAAGUGCAGAAUCUUAGAACAGUGCACAUCUGUGCUAUAGACUAGCUACAACUGCUGGAACUGGAGCCAAUCUAGUUUUCAAAAAAGGCCACCGCUUCGUUAGAGAGAGGACCACGGACUCUGCAUACGCUCUGGUGACCUAGGGUGGAGGGGCGGGGUGGCGGGGAGGGCAGCAGGCUUAUGCUUUAAACCCCUGAGGCAGAUAGAGAAGGAAGGAAGGAAACAAGGGCAGAUGUUAGAGUAUACUCACAAGAUUAACUCCUCUGAUUCCUAUGCAAAUACCUAGAAAGGGAGAGACACACAAAGUUAUCUUUAAGGUCUUUAUCUUGAGCUCUGAAUUGCUAAAACAAACAAAAACACCCAAGUAGGGGGGGAACGGAAGUCUACUUGGAAGAGGAAAGAGAGCAGCUGGUGCUGCUGGAGUCAUGAGAUCCAGGACACCCCCGUUUCCCAAGCCUGGAUGUGCCUCCCAGGGUAGCAUGCUGGCACGGAGCGGGAUGGCUGAUUUCCAUAAGAUGGAAAUGAUUGCAUGCUGGAAACUGAGAUGCUUUAGGGGAGAGAAGAUUCCUAACCCAAAAGAAAGGAUAUAAAUCUUUAAUGUGUCAAAUUUGUUGACUGUAAGAUGUUGUAGUAAUGGUCAGUACUUGCAGCACCAAAUGGGCACGUCUAAGGGGUCCGGGCUUUGAAAUCAGUCAUGUUAUCCAAACAAAUUCCACUUGAGUUCCGUGGCUGAAUGUCUGAGACCUUCAGAAGAAGCUUAUAAAGACCCUGCUGGAAACUGAAGAGGAUUUUAGAUACGCCAAAGAUAUGCCGGCCAUUACGCAGAGACUAGAACUUUUAGUGCUGAGAGCUCUGGCUGGGAGAACCUCACAUUCCUAAGAAUCAGCAACCAAGGGACCCCAUUUUUCUGCCAAAUAGGCACACUAUUAAAUCUGAUGGGCAUGUCAAGGGGGAAGAUGACCUGGGAAAGGAGUUGCCCGGGGAGCAAGUGCCCUGUUGCAGAGGCAGAGAUUGCCAAGAUGGUCUCCUUGGGGUUUGAGGCACAAAGCCCCCUCUAUCUAUUUUAGUUAUAAGGAGGUGGGAAUGCUGUGUUAAAUUGUACCCAAGAAGAUAACUCACAAGGCAAGGAACACGGAAGCUAGGGUGUGUUGGGCAAGUAAGCAGAGGUUGCUUGCUUCACCGAAAGUGGGGCUGCUCUGGUCUCACAAGGGUCUAGCCUUGGUUGGCACAUGCUUCCCUUGUCACACCAGACAGGUGAGACCAAGAAGGGAAGACAGAAAGAGACCCCACCACUUAACAUGGGCAAAUACCUACAGGAGGCUACUUUCCAAUCUGUGGUGCCCAGAAACUUGGCAGGGAUAGGGGGGUUGCAUGGGGAGGGAUGCUAGAGAAUGGAGAACGAGUUCACUCUAUUGGCCCAAACUCAAUUUUCAUGUGGCUUCCUUUAAACAAACCACAAGCUUAGUGAGUCAGUUAGGUCAGUGUAGAGAGAUAUUUCCGCAUGCUAGAGGCAGAUCCAUAUUGGUUCCCCAGUCUGUUUUUGGACGGUUCCCCUUCAUUCUAAUCACAAUGCUGCUGCCAGGCUGAUUCUUCUAACAUGCAAAUAUGUUCCUGUCACUUGCCUGUUUGGAAUUCUUCAAUGGUCCCAUUAGGUUUCUGUCGACUGCAACGAAAAGUCUUGUCUAAUCAGAACCACUGAAAGUUUUUAAUCAGGAGAGCAAUAUGUUCAGGCUUGUGUUAUAGAAAGAAACUGAGAGAGCAGACAUACAGAUUAUCCUCCUGGAUUUAUCAGUUAUAUACAUUAAAAUGGCCAAACAGUAAUUCAAAUAGC